UAGGGAAUCUUCGGCAAUGGGGGGAACCCUGACCGAGCAACGCCGCGUGAGUGAAGAAGGUUUUCGGAUCGUAAAGCUCUGUUGUUAAGGAAGAACGAGUGUGAGAAUGGAAAGUUCAUGCUGUGACGGUACUUAACCAGAAAGCCACGGCUAACUACGUGCCAGCAGCCGCGGUAAUACGUAGGUGGCAAGCGUUGUCCGGAUUUAUUGGGCGUAAAGCGAGCGCAGGCGGUCAAUUAAGGCUGAUGUGAAAGCCCCCGGCUCAACCGGGGAGGGUCAUUGGAAACUGGUUGACUUGAGUGCAGAAGAGGAGAGUGGAAUUCCAUGUGUAGCGGUGAAAUGCGUAGAUAUAUGGAGGAACACCAGUGGCGAAGGCGACUCUCUGGUCUGUAACUGACGCUGAGGCUCGAAAGCGUGGGUAGCAAACAGG
rnacentral:rRNA from 1 species